UACGUAGGUGGCAAGCGUUGUCCGGAUUUACUGGGCGUAAAGAGCGCGCAGGCGGUCGUUUAAGUCGAAUGUGAAAGCCCCCGGCUCAACUGGGGAGGGUCAUUCGAUACUGAUCGACUUGAAGGCAGGAGAGAGAAGUGGAAUUCCCGGUGUAGUGGUGAAAUGCGUAGAUAUCGGGAGGAACACCAGCGGCGAAGGCGGCACUCUGGGCUGGAACUGACGCUGAGGAGCGAAAGCGUGGGUAGCAAACAGG
rnacentral:rRNA from 1 species